rnacentral:tRNA from 1 species
UAGCUCUGAGGUUAAAGCGUCUGCCUGCAAUGCAGGAGACCCAGGUUCGAUCCCUGG